AGGACUGUGGAAGUAGGUGUGGCAAGAAGGAUUUGCCCACCAUUCUAUGCGUGUGACAAAAUGAAUGUGGUAAUCUUUUGAUGCUGUAAACAUGGGUUAAUGAAUAGUUAAUUCUUAAAAGAAUUCUUCUGCUAGGAGCAAACCUGGUUGUCAUGUUUUGGUGAUUGGCAGAUUAGCACUUAUGAUCAUGGAAAAAUAUAUAUUAGAUUUAUUCUUUGGCCUUAAACUUUCUUAAGAUAUAAAGUUUGAUCAUCAGAUUAAUACCCAAG